ACAUGUGGAGCGCUUAGAAGUGAGAAUGCCGGUGUGAGUAGCGAAAGACGGGUGAGAAUCCCGUCCACCGAUUGACUAAGGUUUCCAGAGGAAGGCUCGUCCGCUCUGGGUUAGUCGGGUCCUAAGCUGAGGCCGACAGGCGUAGGCGAUGGAUAACAGGUUGAUAUUCCUGUACCACCUAUAAUCGUUUUAAUCGAUGGGGGGACGCAGUAGGAUAGGCGAAGCGUGCGAUUGGAUUGCACGUCUAAGCAGUAAGGCUGAGUAUUAGGCAAAUCCGGUACUCGUUAAGGCUGAGCUGUGAUGGGGAGAAGACAUUGUGUCUUCGAGUCGUUGAUUUCACACUGCCGAGAAAAGCCUCUAGAUAGAAAAUAGGUGCCCGUACCGCAAACCGACACAGGUAGUCAAGAUGAGAAUUCUAAGGUGAGCGAGCGAACUCUCGUUAAGGAACUCGGCAAAAUGACCCCGUAACUUCGGGAGAAGGGGUGCUCUUUAGGGUUAACGCCCAGAAGAGCCGCAGUGAAUAGGCCCAAGCGACUGUUUAUCAAAAACACAGGUCUCUGCUAAACCGUAAGGUGAUGUAUAGGGGCUGACGCCUGCCCGGUGCUGGAAGGUUAAGAGGAGUGGUUAGCUUCUGCGAAGCUACGAAUCGAAGCCCCAGUAAACGGCGGCCGUAACUAUAACGGUCCUAAGGUAGCGAAAUUCCUUGUCGGGUAAGUUCCGACCCGCACGAAAGGCGUAACGAUUUGGGCACUGUCUCAACGAGAGACUCGGUGAAAUCAUAGUACCUGUGAAGAUGCAGGUUACCCGCGACAGGACGGAAAGACCCCGUGGAGCUUUACUGUAGCCUGAUAUUGAAAUUCGGCACAGCUUGUACAGGAUAGGUAGGAGCCUUUGAAACGUGAGCGCUAGCUUACGUGGAGGCGCUGGUGGGAUACUACCCUAGCUGUGUUGGCUUUCUAACCCGCACCACUUAUCGUGGUGGGAGACAGUGUCAGGCGGGCAGUUUGACUGGGGCGGUCGCCUCCUAAAAGGUAACGGAGGCGCUCAAAGGUUCCCUCAGAAUGGUUGGAAAUCAUUCAUAGAGUGUAAAGGCAUAAGGGAGCUUGACUGCGAGACCUACAAGUCGAGCAGGGUCGAAAGACGGACUUAGUGAUCCGGUGGUUCCGCAUGGAAGGGCCAUCGCUCAACGGAUAAAAGCUACCCCGGGGAUAACAGGCUUAUCUCCCCCAAGAGUUCACAUCGACGGGGAGGUUUGGCACCUCGAUGUCGGCUCAUCGCAUCCUGGGGCUGUAGUCGGUCCCAAGGGUUGGGCUGUUCGCCCAUUAAAGCGGUACGCGAGCUGGGUUCAGAACGUCGUGAGACAGUUCGGUCCCUAUCCGUCGUGGGCGUAGGAAAUUUGAGAGGAGCUGUCCUUAGUACGAGAGGACCGGGAUGGACAUACCUCUGGUGUACCAGUUGUCGUGCCAACGGCAUAGCUGGGUAGCUAUGUGUGGACGGGAUAAGUGCUGAAAGCAUCUAAGCAUGAAGCCCCCCUCAAGAUGAGAUUUCCCAACUUCGGUUAUAAGAUCCCU
rnacentral:rRNA from 1 species